GACGAACGCUGGCGGCGUGCCUAAUACAUGCAAGUUGAGCGCUGAAGGUUGGUACUUGUCCCGACUGGAUGAGCAGCGAACGGGUGAGUAACGCGUGGGGAAUCUGCCUUUGAGCGGGGGACAACAUUUGGAAACGAAUGCUAAUACCGCAUAAAAACUUUAAACACAAGUUUUAAGUUUGAAGGAUGCAAUUGCAUCACUCAAAGAUGAUCCCGCGUUGUAUUAGCUAGUUGGUGAGGUAAAGGCUCACCAAGGCGAUGAUACAUAGCCGACCUGAGAGGGUGAUCGGCCACAUUGGGACUGAGACACAGCCCAAACUCCUACGGGAGGCAGCAGUAGGGAAUCUUCGGCAAUGGACGAAAGUCUGACCGAGCAACGCCGCGUGAGUGAAGAAGGUUUUCGGAUCGUAAAACUCUGUUGGUAGAGAAGAACGUUGGUGAGAGUGGAAAGCUCAUCAAGUGACGGUAACUACCCAGAAAGGGACGGCUAACUACGUG
rnacentral:rRNA from 1 species